GUGUGAGGAAGCAAAGCAAAGGAGCCCUGAUUAAGUUCUUGGUACCUCUUAUAUACGCCCCUGUUCUUCCUCUCAUUCGGCUCUCGUUGAGGAGGAACCCGGUGGUGAGGGAUCGUUUGUUUACCCUCGUCUUGGCUGGGGCUUUCGCUCAUGGGUUUUACUUGGUGAGGUUACUAGAUGCAUGUCUUGUAGUGAUUCUGAGCAAGCAGUUUCAACCUUAUGAUCUUUAGUGAGCUGAGGAUUUGAUGGAUAAGGUGCAAAACCUUAAACGUUAAUGGCCUUGUCCCGCUCUUGAUCCCUUGACAAACUUUGGUAUACAUGCUCUGAUAGCGCUUAGAAAGCUGUUUCAAAGAACCAGUGAUUGAGUUCUUUAGAUCUCCUUUGGAUACUUAGGUGGUGGCAAAUAGGUUUUGAAUCCUUGUAUAAUUGUGAAAUCAAGUCUUCACUUGCACACUACGACGGAAUGUUUUCCUUAGCGAUGGGCUCUUUCUUUCUGAAAAAAGUAUUAUCUUCAAAUGCAUGUCAAGGUCUUCCCAGGAUGUUGGCAUGUAAGGUCUCUAUUCUUCUGCUGCGGAUGAUUUACAGACAUGAACUAAUAUACAGCUUCUUUCAAUAUGUAGCAAGUUGUUUUUGGCUGAAAUAUGUAGGUUUGAGGAACCACGAGUUUUAGGAAGUCAAGCAAACAAAUAAGGCAUUCUAACACCACCUGGGAUGUAUGGAUUAUAAGCAACCAGAAUAAGAGCCCGGGUCCGACUGUACUUCUAGCAAUAUUAAGGUACGCUUGAUGUGUAUUUACAUUCUCUCAUAUAUGAUGUGAUCCUCACGGGGGAUUCACGAUUAGGUGAGACAAGAGUGUAAACCAGAUAAUGUCAAAGGGGGGAAAAAUAAGAGGAACUUACAAGUCUGAGUAA